UUAAAUGCGGUACUUCCUGCCCAGUGAAAAUUUUUUUAACGGCCGCAGUAUCCUAACUGUGCAAAGGUAGCAUAAUCACUUGCCUAUUAAUUGUAGGAUAGAAUGAACGGAAUUACGAAAUAAAAACUGUCUCAAUUAAAUACCUAAAAAUUAUUCUCUAUAUGAAGAAAUGUAGAUAAGUUCGAAGGACAAGAAGACCCUAUAGAGCUUAAUUUAUAUUAAGUAACAAACUUCAAAAAAUUCGGUUGGGGCGACCUUGGGUUAAUUAAUCACCUAAUAAAAAAUUAGAUAUAUUUAUCUUAUUAUUGACCCUUUAAAGAACAUUAGAUCAAGCUACCUUAGGGAUAACAGGCUAAUUUUACUAAAGAGUUCAUAUCUACAGUAAAGAUUGGCACCUCGAUGUUGGCUUAGGGUAUCMAUAUAGCGUAAAAGUUWUWUAAAGACGGUUGUUCAACCAUAAUC
rnacentral:rRNA from 1 species